rnacentral:lncRNA from 1 species
AUGGGAUGAGGGAUGAUUGGAAAAGUGAGAAAUGAGCUCUUAUUUAUAGGUGAGGCAAGGGAACUAGUUUGCUAAAAAUAGGAGUGUCCAUCUUUUGAAACUUCGUCCAAGAGUGGUCGGCCAUGAAUUGAGAAAAGGUGGCUGAUUUUUCCUUGAUUUUUGGUCAAUUUGAGUGCCACAACAACUCAAGAUUAAGACUCGAU